GGAAACCAAAUAUUUUCCCUAAACUUUUGGUUUUAGAAAACAUUAACUAUGUAUAACCCCAUUUGAUUUCGCUGGUUGUUUAAAUAUAAGCAAGUGAUUUUUAUCUUUAUCAUUUUUUUUAAAAUGCGGUGUAGAUAAAUGCUCAUGAAGGCAUCACUUAAGAAUGGCGUUCCUCUGAUGGAAGAGGCCUCAAGAAUGUAUUUGCAAUAAUCAGAUGCCUGGAUGCAAGUUCUAUCAAGUGCAAGAUAUUUGGCAUAAAAAUCUCCCAUUUAAAAAAUGACAAAUUCCCAGGAACAUAAUAUAAAUAGGAACACCAGACUGAGGGGGGAAAAACGGGAUUUGAACUUGCAGCUCCUGAUUGGUGGUAGUUGACUGAUUCCAUCCAUGAUCAUUUAACAACUUGCUGUAAUGUAUCGUUUCUAGAAAAAUCCUAAGAGUAAGAAAAUGGCUAGAAUGGUAUAACCCAUCUCAUUGCAGAUGACAUUGACCUUAUCUUACCUCAAACAAUUUAAUCCAAUAAUUUAUUAGUUUCAAAUAACAUAAGAAUUUUAUGGCACAUGAAGAUAUAUUUCAACUAGUAUUUAAAGUAACAACAUCUUAUAAAAACAGCAAAAUUUCUCAUAAGCCCCUAAAAUUGCACUGUAUGUAGGAUGGAAAGAUAUACACACCUUAGAAUCCCUCUGAUGUGUAGAUUUUCUAAAACAUCUUCAGUUGGUUUCCCAUAACUAGUUUAUAGAAAUAAUAGAAUGCAAAAAUUUGCCUAGUGUGGUCCUUACACUUACUCUACCUCCAAAUGAGAGAGGCCUGCCUUGCUUGCUUAUGCAAAGAAUGUCAGCAGCACUACACCAAUAAAUUACAAGCCUAAAUGUAUUUUAAAAAAAAGAGCAGAAUCUUCUCCUAUAUUCUGCCUUUUUUGGUCUCAGACUCAGCCACACUUCAAUCAGAUCUAUGUAAUUCAGUGGACAAUUGUCCAUUUUUAAUUUAAGGCCCCAGGAAUGGGGUGGAAUGUUGGCAAUCCUUUAUUUGACAGACCUAACCAGUGCAUCUUCACCUACUUAUUCCUUGGUUAAACCUGUAACUUCUGCUAUAAAGUGAGUAGGUCAUUUAGAUGUUAAAUUUUGAUUUAAAAGAAUGGAGAAUCCACCAUACCCCAAGACAGAUUUUCAAUGACUACCUUAGCUUCCAAACAUUAAUCUCAAAUUUGUCAGCUAUAGUAGAGUUUGAGAAACUACCUAGAUAUUUUUUUCUUGUAUUUGCAAAAAGGAUGUAUACCUGUAAUAAAAUGUUAAAAGAC